rnacentral:SRP_RNA from 1 species
CGUCGGUCCCCCCGCGACGAUAGUUCGUGAACUCCGCCAGGUCCGGAAGGAAGCAACGGCAGCGAAUGAUUCGGGUGCCGGGGUGUGGCUGGCGGGG